AAAAGGUGAGGAAAACACUGGGCAAUGGAAUAGGCUCCCCAGGGAAGUGGUCACAGCACCAAGCCUGUCUGAGUUCAAGAAGUACUUGGACAAUACUU